AUGCGAUAAGUAAUGUGAAUUGCAGAAUUCAGUGAAUCAUCGAAUCUUUGAACGCACAUUGCGCCCGCCAGUAUUCUGGCGGGCAUGCCUGUUCGAGCGUCAUUACAACCCUCAGGCCCCCGGGCCUGGCGUUGGGGAUCGGCGGAAGCCCCCUGUGGGCACACGCCGUCCCUCAAAUACAGUGGCGGUCCCGCCGCAGCUUCCAUUGCGUAGUAGCUAACACCUCGCAACUGGAGAGCGGCGCGGCCAUGCCGUAAAACACCCAACUUCUGAAUGUUGACCUCGAAUCAGGUAGGAAUACCCGCUGAACUUAA
rnacentral:misc_RNA from 1 species